GGCCCUCUCAGUCUCUAACCAAAGACUCCCAUUUGCUUGGAAGGGGGAUCCUUGGCCGGGGGUGGGGCGGCGGGUGGCGAAGGGCAAGUGAGUGUCUUCAAGCUGGGCUGGUGCUCUUUCCAUUUCUGAGGAAGAUUCUGGAUUCUAAUAUUACUCUUACGAAACCACUCAGCAGAUGUCUGCACUAACAAACUCAGGGAUCUGAGAAAAUCAACACUUAUCCAGAAUGGACUGCCACACCUUGUCCUCCCAUCUCAGAACUUCUCCCACUAUCUACUUCUGUUGGGUUUCUAGAGAGCACCUUAUUAUCAUUGUCCUAUUUUACUGUCUUUGUAUCCCCAAAAUAUAGCUUUCUGUACAUCAGUAUAUCCAUUGCCGAAAACCACUUGUAAAUUCUCUAACUUUACUGGAAUUGUGAAAAGUAAUGAGGAAGGUUCACCUGGACAUCUGAUGACAUGUGACUCUGCCCCCACUAACUCUGUCACAAUUCAAAAAUGUAUGCGGACACUGGGACUCAGGCUGUCAAGUGCAACCCAAACAUGGUACGGCACUGAAUUGUUUUGUAUGUGUCUGUUUCUCCUCUCCUCUCUGGCUCCCCAUCUUCACUUUGGAAAAGUGGAAUAUCUGUCACCACACAUGGCGGUGUCCUUGAUGCUAUCUUGGGGCAAAGAAGCCAGGCCGGCUUGUGGCUGCAAUAGGAAUAGAAGGGACUCCCCUACUCCCAUCCCACCCUACCCCCUCAUCCUGCCUCAACCAGUCAUGCAGAGAGAUGCUGAAUGCCUGCCUACUCUCAGAGGAAUGAUUUUUGGAGGUUUCAUGAAAAUAAUUCAAUCAAUCAAGUUCAACAAAUAUUCAUUGAGCACCCACCAUAGUAAAGAACUUACUACAUGUUAUAUGUACUGGCAGUCUUUAUUUCGUCUCUCCAGGUCCUAGAGAAUACCUUGCUGAUGUUCCCUACUGCAAUUUCAGUCUUAGCACAGACCCUCACAGGUAGUAAGGGCCCAAUAAAUGCUUUGUUGGAUAUAUGACUGUAGAUAGAAGGGCAAUAGGAAGUCAAGGGGGUCAGCAGAGUAUCACAUAUAUUAAGAGCAUGUGUUUUGCUCUCAGUAUGAAUAUGAAUCCUCAUACUUGGAGUUAUUAUCUGCCAAGAAGUUAACUAUCCUCUUCUGGUUUCAAUUUUCUUAUCCAAAAAAAAUGGGACACAGCAAGUGAUUUUUGAGGGCCAAGAUGUCGAUGAUGUGCUUAGCACACAGUGUCGGGC
rnacentral:lncRNA from 1 species